rnacentral:rRNA from 1 species
GACGAACGCUGGCGGCGUGCUUAACACAUGCAAGUCGAACGAUGAAGAAAAGAAUCGAAGCUUCGGCAGACAUUCAUUUCGGAUUAGUGGCAGACGGGUGAGUAACGCGUGAGCAACCUACCUCUUACAAAGGGAUAGCCUCGGGAAACCGGGAUUAAUACCAUAUAACAUUGCGACGAAGCAUUUCGAUGCAAUCAAAGCUACGGCGGUAAGAGAUGGGCUCGCGUCCCAUUAACCGGAUGGUGAGGUAACGGCUCACCAUAGUGACGAUGGGUAACCGGCCUGAGAGGGUGAACGGUCACACUGGAACUGAGACACGGUCCAGACUCCUACGGGAGGCAGCAGUGGGGAAUAUUGCACAAUGGAGGGAACUCUGAUGCAGCGACGCCGCGUGAGUGAUGAAGGAAUUCGUUUCGUAAAACUCUGUUCUAUGGGAAGAAAAGGACUGUACCAUAGGAGAAAGCGCCGGCUAAAUACGUG